rnacentral:rRNA from 1 species
AGUCUGAUGGAGCAACGCCGCGUGAGUGAAGAAGGGUUUCGGCUCGUAAAGCUCUGUUGGUAGUGAAGAAAGAUAGAGGUAGUAACUGGCCUUUAUUUGACGGUAAUUACUUAGAAAGUCACGGCUAACUACGUGCCAGCAGCCGCGGUAAUACGUAGGUGGCAAGCGUUGUCCGGAUUUAUUGGGCGUAAAGCGAGUGCAGGCGGUUCAAUAAGUCUGAUGUGAAAGCCUUCGGCUCAACCGGAGAAUUGCAUCAGAAACUGUUGAACUUGAGUGCAGAAGAGGAGAGUGGAACUCCAUGUGUAGCGGUGGAAUGCGUAGAUAUAUGGAAGAACACCAGUGGCGAAGGCGGCUCUCUGGUCUGCAACUGACGCUGAGGCUCGAAAGCAUGGGUAGCGAACAGGAUUAGAUACCCUGGUAGUCCAUGCCGUAAACGAUGAGUGCUAAGUGUUGGGAGGUUUCCGCCUCUCAGUGCUGCAGCUAACGCAUUAAGCACUCCGCCUGGGGAGUACGACCGCAAGGUUGAAACUCAAAGGAAUUGACGGGGGCCCGCACAAGCGGUGGAGCAUGUGGUUUAAUUCGAAGCAACGCGAAGAACCUUACCAGGUCUUGACAUCCAGUGCAAACCUAAGAGAU